rnacentral:pre_miRNA from 1 species
UUGUCUCUUGGAGUUCCUUCGAACGCUUCAUACAAGAGAUUAUCUAUAUAGUCUAAAUCACAUUAUAAAUUAUAGAUAUUCUUCUUUUCUUUUCUUCAAUGAAGUGUUUGGGGGAACUCCUGGAGUUCC